rnacentral:rRNA from 1 species
UACAGAGGUCCCGAGCGUUGUCCGGAAUUAUUGGGCGUAAAGCGCGCGCAGGCGGUCCUUUAAGUCUGAUGUGAAAGCCCACGGCUCAACCGUGGAGGGUCAUUGGAAACUGGGGGACUUGAGUACAGAAGAGAAGAGUGGAAUUCCACGUGUAGCGGUGAAAUGCGUAGAGAUGUGGAGGAACACCAGUGGCGAAGGCGACUCUUUGGUCUGUAACUGACGCUGAGGCGCGAAAGCGUGGGGAGCAAACAGG